CGGACGGGUGAGUAACACGUCGAUAACCUACCUAUAAGACUGGGAUAACUUCGGGAAACCGGAGCUAAUACCGGAUAACAUGUUGAACCGCAUGGUUCAACAGUGAAAGACGGUUUUGCUGUCACUUAUAGAUGGAUCCGCGCCGCAUUAGCUAGUUGGUAAGGUAACGGCUUACCAAGGCAACGAUGCGUAGCCGACCUGAGAGGGUGAUCGGCCACACUGGAACUGAGACACGGUCCAG
rnacentral:rRNA from 1 species